GGCUCAGGAUGAACGCUAGCGACAGGCUUAACACAUGCAAGUCGAGGGGCAGCACAGGUAGCAAUACCGGGUGGCGACCGGCGCACGGGUGAGUAACGCGUAUGCAACUUACCUAUCAGAGGGGGAUAACCCGGCGAAAGUCGGACUAAUACCGCAUGAAGCAGGGGCCCCGCAUGGGGAUAUUUGCUAAAGAUUCAUCGCUGAUAGAUAGGCAUGCGUUCCAUUAGGCAGUUGGCGGGGUAACGGCCCACCAAACCGACGAUGGAUAGGGGUUCUGAGAGGAAGGUCCCCCACAUUGGUACUGAGACACGGACCAAACUCCUACGGGAGGCAGCAGUGAGGAAUAUUGGUCAAUGGCCGAGAGGCUGAACCAGCCAAGUUGCGUGAGGGAUGAAGGUUCUAUGGAUCGUAAACCUCUUUUAUAAGGGAAUAAAGUGCGGGACGUGUCCCGUUUUGUAUGUACCUUAUGAAUAAGGAUCGGCUAACUCCGUGCCAGCAGCCGCGGUAAUACGGAGGAUCCGAGCGUUAUCCGGAUUUAUUGGGUUUAAAGGGUGCGUAGGCGGCCUUUUAAGUCAGCGGUGAAAGUCUGUGGCUCAACCAUAGAAUUGCCGUUGAAACUGGGGGGCUUGAGUAUGUUUGAGGCAGGCGGAAUGCGUGGUGUAGCGGUGAAAUGCAUAGAUAUCACGCAGAACCCCGAUUGCGGAGGCAGCCUGCCAAGCCAUUACUGACGCUGAUGCACGAAAGCGUGGGGAUCAAACAGGAUUAGAUACCCUGGUAGUCCACGCAGUAAACGAUGAUCACUAGCUGUUUGCGAUACACUGUAAGCGGCACAGCGAAAGCGUUAAGUGAUCCACCUGGGGAGUACGCCGGCAACGGUGAAACUCAAAGGAAUUGACGGGGGCCCGCACAAGCGGAGGAACAUGUGGUUUAAUUCGAUGAUACGCGAGGAACCUUACCCGGGUUUGAACGCAUUCGGACCGAGGUGGAAACACCUUUUCUAGCAAUAGCCGUUUGCGAGGUGCUGCAUGGUUGUCGUCAGCUCGUGCCGUGAGGUGUCGGCUUAAGUGCCAUAACGAGCGCAACCCUUGUCACUAGUUACUAACAGGUAAAGCUGAGGACUCUGGUGGGACUGCCAGCGUAAGCUGCGAGGAAGGCGGGGAUGACGUCAAAUCAGCACGGCCCUUACAUCCGGGGCGACACACGUGUUACAAUGGCGUGGACAAAGGGAAGCCACCUGGCGGCAGGGAGCGAAUCCCCAAACCACGUCUCAGUUCGGAUCGGAGUCUGCAACCCGACUCCGUGAAGCUGGAUUCGCUAGUAAUCGCGCAUCAGCCAUGGCGCGGUGAAUACGUUCCCGGGCCUUGUACACACCGCCCGUCAAGCCAUGGGAGCCGGGGGUACCUGAAGUCCGUAACCGCGAGGAUCGGCCUAGGGUAAAACUGGUG
rnacentral:rRNA from 1 species